rnacentral:rRNA from 1 species
UCGGGAGGCAGCAGUGGGGAAUAUUGCACAAUGGGCGCAAGCCUGAUGCAGCCAUGCCGCGUGUAUGAAAAAGGCCUUCGGGUUGUAAAGUACUUUCAGUCGUGAGGAAGGUGUUAAGGUUAAUAACCUUAGCAAUUGACGUUAGCGACAGAAGAAGCACCGGCUAACUCCGUGCCAGCAGCCGCGGUAAUACGGAGGGUGCGAGCGUUAAUCGGAAUUACUGGGCGUAAAGGGCACGCAGGCGGUUAAUUAAGUUGGAUGUGAAAUCCCCGGGCUUAACCUGGGAAUGGCAUUCAAGACUGGUUAGCUAGAGUCUUGUAGAGGGGGUAGAAUUCCAUGUGUAGCGGUGAAAUGCGUAGAGAUGUGGAGGAAUACCGGUGGCGAAGGCGGCCCCUGGACAAAGACUGACGCUCAUGUGCGAAAGCGUGGGGAGCAAACAGGGAUUAGAUACC